GUCCUACUAGCAUUCGUGACAUAUAUUCCUACAGUCAUUUUACAGAUUUUGCUCACAUUCUCGUGGUAUUUUGUCUGAUGCUUCUGUGUGUGUUACGUUUCGGUGUUGUGUCGUUGUUCUCCUCUUAUAUUUAAUGCGUUUCCCUCGGUUUUAGUUUGUUACCCCGAUUUUGUUUUUUGUCCCUGGAUUUAUGAGUUUUGAACAGCGGUAUACUACUGUUGCCUUUAUUUGUAACAAAGUGCCUCACAGAAGCAAAUGAGUACGGAUCGGAAAGUAUUGCAUUUCCAGCACUAGGUACAGGUAUCCUAAAGUUUCCGUCUGAUAUUGCAGCCUCUUUUUUUAUUAGAGCAACUAAAGACUUUAUUCAUAAACAUCCUCGAACAUCGAUCACUGACAU
rnacentral:lncRNA from 1 species